rnacentral:rRNA from 1 species
ACUCCUACGGGAGGCAGCAGUGGGGAAUAUUGCACAAUGGGGGAAACCCUGAUGCAGCCAUGCCGCGUGUGUGAAGAAGGCCUUCGGUUGUAAAGCACUUUCAGUAGGGAGGAAGGUAGUGUAGUUAACACCUGCACUAUUUGACGUUACCUACAGAAGAAGCACCGGCUAACUCCGUGCCAGCAGCCGCGGUAAUACGGAGGGGUGCGAGCGUUAAUCGGAAUUACUGGGCGUAAAGCGCAUGCAGGCGGCCUGUUAAGUCAGAUGUGAAAGCCCGGGGGCUUAACCUCGGAAUUGCAUUUGAAACUGGCAGGCUAGAGUCUUGUAGAGGGGGUAGAAUUUCAGGUGUAGCGGUGAAAUGCGUAGAGAUCUGAAGGAUACCAGUGGCGAAGGCGGCCCCCUGGACAAAGACUGACGCUCAGAUGCGAAAGCGUGGGGAGCGAAACAGGAUUAGAUACCCU